UACGAAGGGGGCUAGCGUUGUUCGGAAUUACUGGGCGUAAAGCGCACGUAGGCGGCCGCUUAAGUCGGAUGUGAAAGCCCCUGGCUCAACUGGGGAAGUGCACCCGAAACUGAGUGGCUUGAGUACUAAAGAGGGUCGCGGAAUUCCCGGUGUAGAGGUGAAAUUCGUAGAUAUCGGGAGGAACACCGGUGGCGAAGGCGGCGACCUGGGUAGAUACUGACGCUGAGGCGCGAAAGCGUGGGGAGCAAACAGG
rnacentral:rRNA from 1 species